rnacentral:rRNA from 1 species
ACGGAGGGUGCAAACGUUGCUCGGAAUUAUUGGGCGUAAAGCGCACGUAGGCGGCUUGUUAAGUCGGAUGUGAAAGCCCUGGGCUCAACCCAGGAAGUGCAUUCGAAACUGCCAAGCUUGAGUACAGGAGAGGGUGGCGGAAUUCCCGGUGUAGAGGUGAAAUUCGUAGAUAUCGGGAGGAACACCAGAGGCGAAGGCGGCCACCUGGACUGAUACUGACGCUGAGGUGCGAAAGCGUGGGGAGCAAACAGG